rnacentral:rRNA from 1 species
AUUGAACGCUGGCGGCAGGCCUAACACAUGCAAGUCGAGCGAGUGGCGGACGGGUGAGUAAUGUAUGGGGAACUGCCCGAUAGAGGGGGAUAACUACUGGAAACGGUGGCUAAUACCGCAUACUAUCGGAUGAACCCAGAUGGGAUUAGCUCGUAGGUGGGGUAACGGCUCACCUAGGCGACGAUCCCUAGCUGGUCUGAGAGGAUGACCAGCCACACGGGAACUGAGACACGUCCCAGACUCCUACGGGAGGCAGCAGUGGGGAAGAUUGCACAAUGGGCGCAAUCCUGAUGCAGCCAUGCCGCGUGUAUGAAGAAGGCCUUAGGGUUGUAAAGUACUUUCAGCGGGGAGGCGUUACCCGCAGAAGAAGCACCGGCUAACUCCGUGCCAGCAGCCGCGGUAAUUC